AGCAGCAUGGCGCAGAGGUUAGCGCGCGAGGCCCAUAACCUCGAGGUCCCUUGAUCGAAACAAGGUGCUGCUA